UUUUACCAAAUUCCUCUCUUUUAAUAGCCGCCGCCCACGUCAACUCCCUCUCCUCCACCAAAUCCGCCCAUCUCCAUUGAUUUAUGAGGGAAAAACUACGGAGAAAUCGGAUCUGCUCCCAUCCUUCACUCUCUUGCGUGGAUUGGAUUUGAGCUUCUCUCCAAGGUACGUUCAUGGUGUUCUUGGAAGUCCCUUCGAUUUCUUGAAAUUUCUUGUAAAUCCACUCAAGAUAGAAGCAAUGUGUGUUGUAUGGAUGGAUUUCUCUAUGGAUUUACACUCUAUUGGGUGAGAUCGAGAGAAAACACGGUUGAACUGUUCAUGCUCAGUUGAACCCAUCCCUUGGGUCGAUUGAACCAUUCAGGAACGAGUUCAUCAUGUUUCCCUCUUCGAUUUCAUCACCACACCUUGUAUUAGUUGUCUCACACACCUUGUCUGUCAUUUGGAAGAUGGUGCGUCCUCGAAAGCCCUAUGCUGUGGAGAGUGAUUUGGAGGACUCUUCCGCCGAGAUCGAAGAAGAAGUUAUUUUCUAAAUCUUUUUUAAAAUAAAUUUCUACACCAUAAAUUUUCUACUAAAACAUGCAAUAAUAUAGAUUCAGUGGGUAGAUCAUUUCAUAAGGAAGUCAAUAAAACAAGUUUCACGAUUUUUGCAGCUACCAAACAUGAUAUAUGCAUUUUUGAAUAUAUUAAGAAAUCUGUAGAUUUGAAGCAAAAGGCAUUUAGUCCUAGCCACUCGGGCCCACCUAUCAUCCACUCCAGAGAGAGCUUCUUCUAUGCUGGUCUAGCAAAGAACACAAGUGGGUGGAGGUCACGGCUGCAAAGCCAAUGGAGCGUGGAGAAGGGAAGGAGAAGCUGUGCGACAGAGACGGUGCCGGGGCUUGGAGGUUGUGGCCGACGGCUGGAGAUGGUGGAUUGGUGGCCGGCGUUGGAGGAGGCUGACGGCGCUGGGGAAGACGAGCAACCGGAGCAAAGCAGGGGCGAGCUCUAGGCGCUCCUGGCCUGGGCAUCGACGCACGCCGCAGGAAGCGGAUAAGGGAGGCUGCGACAUGGCGCGCGACUCGCCGGAGAUGUGGGGCCGAGGGAGAGGAGGAAGACAUACCGGGUCCACAAUACAUAUACACAAACCCCCAAGGCCUCACAUGACAGACAACAACACACCCAUGCCCACUCAGGUGCACUGAUAGCAUGGCGCUUCCGAGCACCCUGGACUGCCUCCUGUGCUUGGUAUGUCAACGUAGUAGUUCUCACAUCCUCACAUAGUCACAUUCCCCCCUCCUUAAAAUUCGAUUUGUCCUCAAGUCAAUGCAGAAUCUGAACAAAUUUAGGAUCAUGAUGCCAUGAGCGAAGCAUGUCUUGAACUGAAACAUUGGCUCUUUGUUUAGCAAUUAGCAUAUCCAAAAUAAGCAAACUUCACACAUCUGCUAUUGUGGUCACUUUGGCAGCCAGGUUCCCCAUAAUCACUGAUUUGCACUAGAAUAAGCAGCUUCCGUGAUAACUUCCAGUGGCAGAUCAAACAAAUCAAGGAUUCCAGUGUUGCCUUCCUAGAUUUAGAUACUUGUGUAAUGUUAACUCCAGACAAGUGUAUCUGAUAUAUACUUAUCCAAGUCCCAUGAAGAAAAAUCAGCAAACAAACACUGAAUAUCAGAUGAUCGAAGGAUGGCAAACCCAGCAACUGAAGACGAUUUUUCAUGUAUUUGGAUAAGGUCCUCCUGUAAAGCAUUACAUAGAUUUUGGAUCCAACCACAUGUAUAAUUGCCUGACAACUGAGCAAUAUUCUUGACUUGGACUUAGAGGCCGCCUUGGAGAGUUUUAGUGACCAGCUAAAAUAUAAGUUUGCAUAACUCAUACAACUCAAAACAAAAUUUGGCCAGGGCAUAGUACGAUUUGUACCACCCUCCAGCCAAAUCUCCAAUGAAAUGGGUGGGGCCCCUUAAACUUGGCAUUGGAGCAGUGCAAGCAUGUAGCCAAGAAAUGCGGCAACAGCAAGGAGUGCCACUCCUAGAGGAAAAUCAGCUUCAUGUUGGUACACACAGUCAUCAAAGUGGAGCUGAAUCUCCCGAAUUGUUUGGUUUCCUCUGUCAAUCACCAGAAGGGAGCAACUACUGCCAAUGUAAUAACAAACUUCAAAAUCAGUAGACGAUUUUGCCUCGUCACUUGGUCCGUCAACCUGCCCUCCUCUGCCUGAUUUCCCCCAGUAAUGAUUGUAACCCGUGUAUAACUGUUCUUUCUAAUAGCCAUGUUCAUGGCAUCAGCCACACAUAUAUUACCUUUGUCAUCGACUGUAACUCCCUUCGGGUGGUAUAUCCUCCCCUCUCGCAGGUUCCCAUCAACAUGACCAGGAAAUCCUUCGAGAGAACCGGCAACAAGCUUUGGUCUGCUAUCUCGGGACAGCGGCAGCGCCAUGCUGUAGAUGUUGCUGUCCAUGAUGAGUAUUUCGCUGCCCUGGGUAACCUCCAUGGAGUAGGGCUCGAUCCCCAGCUUACUGUAGUCAAGGAUCUUCUCCACAGUGUACCCGCACUCAUAUUUCACCAUCGACUUUCCCCCGCUCGCUGCUAUAGCGUUGUUGAUGAUGAUGCAAGGACGUACAAAAGCAUCUUUGCCCUUCAAAAGGCAUAAAGCAUUGUUAAAAACCUCGCCAAAGAGCAUCUUAUCGCCCAUUUCAUCUCUAUACCACCCAGUAAGCUUGGUCAUGGCUGCAUUCCACUCGGUCAACCUCCCAAAUUGGUCAUCACCAAAUAUUGGAGGAAUUAGUGGGUUCUGGUUGUAGAUGAUUGUCUUGUAAUCUCCCUCAACCCCAGUAAAUUUGUCCAUGAGUAACCUGUGAACGGUCAUAUCCUGGGCUACAAAGCACACCCCAACAACAUGGUCAUGAAGAUCACGACUGGCACAAGCAUUCACAACCAAGAUAACAGGGUCAUCAUCCCUCUUGGAACCAUGUGUUUUCAACUCAAAUCAAACUUCCUUCUCUUCUCUGCCUAUAGCGCUCAUAGACUUUUGAGCUCCAAUCUUAAUGUCAUCAUGCAACAUAGAGCCACAGUUGCAGCUGAAGCAAUUAAUCAAACACUUGGCGGGCGAUGCAGGAACCGUGUCCACCUCCUCGGGCUCCUGCAGGAGAGAGGAAGCCAGGGAAGAGAUGCGAACCGGGCACAGCUCACAGGACGUGGUGGCGAGGUUGUCGAGGCAACCACAUGCUCCGACGAGCUGUUCACUGAUGUCACAGUCUUCGAAGGCCACGCCGUGGAGAGGUGGCACCACCUGGAGUGUCACAGCCCUUGGCCGACAACGACGAUCACCGCGACGUGAGCACCAGGAAUCGCCGUCAAGGGAACAGACACACGGAUGUCUCAGGUAGCGUGUUUCUUCUCUAUUAUUUUCUCAACCCUUUUUCAAGCAUCAGACAACAUUAUAUCACUCCUUACAUGGGCCGGCCCAUAAUGCCACACGCACUCACCCAAAGACAGCCCAAAAUGGCGCACACCAGUCCCUGUUCACCCUUCGACACCUUCGCUUCAAACUCCAGCUUCUGGCUCCUCUCCCGCGUUCUCUGUAUUCUGCGUUAUGACACCCGCUGGCGUGACAUCUGCCCCCCUGAACGCUUGCUUGGCCCCAAGCAAGAGCAUCCGGAUAGCGCUGGCGCAGAACAUAGUAAUCUUCCCAGGUUGUGGCGUCCGCUGGAACAUGACUCCACCUGAUCAGCACCUGUGGCACAGCCCGAUUCCCUUUUUUGACCAAUCUGCGAUUCAGUAUCUCCAAAGGCUGGACAUUGUGACCACUCAGAUCAGAGGAAGUAGGAAGAGUAGCAAAGACUGGAGUGUAGUCUGGAAUAUAUGGUUUCAGUUGUGACACAUGAAACACCGGGUGCACCUGAGCAGCAGCCGGCAGCUCCAAACGAUAAGCCACUGCACCCACACGUUCCAAUAUCUUGUAAGGGCCGAAGAACUUAAAGGCAAGUUUAGGACACGGCCGACUGACCACAGUGUGCUAGGUAUACGAUUGGAGUUUGAGCAGAACCAUGUCACCGACGUUAAACUGGCGUUCGGUCCGGAGCCGAUCUGCCUUCAGCUUAAUGCGGUUCUGGGCUGCGGCAAGCUGCUCCCGCAACAUCGAAGUGAACUGAGCCCUUUCCUCUAACAGCUGUGCCACAUCAACAAUAGCAUCAGAUGGGAUAUGAGGUGCUGCUGCAAAUGGAGGGUCAUAACCGUACAACACUUUGAAAGGAGAACAAGCCAGUGAAGUGUGGUAUGUGGUGUUGUACCAAAAUUCUGCCAGAGGCAACCAAUUCUUCCAUUUAGAAGGUUGAGCAUGGACUGCACACCGUAGGUACAUCUCCACACAUUGGUUAACCCGCUCACUCUGGCCGUUAGUCUGGGGGUGAUAGGCUGUGCUCAGGUUCAGCUUAGUGCCCAACAGCUUGAAUAAUUGACUCCAAAAUAUGCUCGUAAAGAUUUUAUCCCUGUCGCUGACAAUAGAUCUCGGAAGACCAUGCAAGCGGACCACCUGAUCCAACACAACCUGAGCCACUUGUGCUGCAGUGAAAGGAUGUUUCAGAGCAAUAAAAUGGGCGUACUUCGAGAAGCGGUCCACCACAACCAAGAUUGUAUCAUAGCCACUGGACUUGGGCAGUUUUUCGAUGAAAUCCAUUGCAAUAUCCUGCCAGGCGCCUUGAGGAACCGAAAGUGGUUGCAAUAAACCAGCCGGGUGAACUCUCUCUCCUUUGGCCUUUUGACAAAUUUGACACUGUUUGACAAAAUCUUCCACAUCGGUCUUCAUGCCCUUCCAAACAAACAAUUUCUUCAAUCGAUGAUAAGUGGCGUGCACCCCCGAGUGACCACCCAUGGUACUGUCAUGCAAUGCUGCCACCAACUUCGUCCGGAGAGCUGAAUUGUGGCCAACCCAAAUUAAAUUGCCCUUCCUGAUGACUCCCUGAGAAAGAGAGUAGCCAUACUCAUCCGGGCUGUGGACACACAACCGAGUCAACAGUGACUGCGCAUCAGAAUCAGUCACAUAAGAAUUGGUAACUUCUUGAAUCCAGCGAGGUUGAACUUCAAUGACUGCUGUCAACGCCAUCACACAGCCCACCCGAGAAAGAGCAUCAGCGACUUUCUUCUCCUUGCCCGGCUUGUAGAUUACUUUAAACUGCAUCCCCAUAAGCUUUGCCAUGGCUUUACGUUGCAACUCCGAAUGAAGCUCCUGACUGCCCAAGAAACUGAGAGCCUUGUGAUUCGUCCGGAUUUCAAACUCACUCCGUUGGAGAUAAUGACGCCAACGAUCCACAGCCAUAAUCAGGGCGAUGAACUCCUUCUCAUAGAUUGAAAGCUUCUGAUUGGAAACUCCCAACGCCUUGCUCAAGAAAGUGAUAGGUCUGCCCUGCUGCAUCAACACUGCUCCUACCCCGUCAUCACAGGCGUCAGUUUCAACAGCAAAGGGUAUGUUAAAAUCAGGUAAUGCCAAAACUGGCGUGGAAACCAUGGCCUGCUUCAGACGCUGAAAAGCAACCUCAGCUUCUGGUGUCCACUUGAAGGCCCCUUUCUGUAGUAACUUCGUUAGUGGUCGAGCAAUUAUCCCGUACCCUUGCACAAAGCGCCUGUAAUACCCGGUCAACCCAAGAAAACCUCGCAAAUCAGUGACAGUCAUUGGUGUCGGCCACUUGAGCAUAGCUUCGGUUUUCUGAGGAUUAGUAGCCACACCCUCACCCGAUAUAACAUGGCCCAAAUAAAUCAGCUCCUUUUUACCAAAGACACAUUUCCUCUCUUUGAGAUAGAACUUGUGGUCCCUUAAAGUAGCAAAGACCAACCGCAGGUGCUCCAAAUGAGAGUGCCAAGUGGGACUAUAAAUCAAUAUAUCAUCAAUAAAGACCAUAACAAAUUUUCGGAGAAAAGGAGCUAGCACCAAGUUCAUCGCACACUGGAAUGCAGCAGGAGCGUUAGUAAGUCCGAAGGGCAUGACUCAAAACUGGUAGUGACCCUGGUGAGUUUUAAACGCAGUCUUAAACUCCUCGGAGGCGCCCAUACGCACCUGAUGAUACCCCGAAGUCAUGUCCAGACUGGAAAAGAAUUUAGUGCCGACAAGCUCAUCCAAAAUCUCCUCGACCACCGGCAUCGGAAACCGAUUCUUGAUGGCCAUAUCAUUGAGCUUACGGUAAUCCACACAGAACCGUCACGUACCAUCCUUCUUUUGCACUAAAAGGACCGAAGAAGCAAAUGGACUCACACUGGGGGUGAUCAAACCAGAUUUCAACAACGCAGCCACCUGCUUCUCAAUCUCCGUCUUAUGAUGAGGAGAAUAUUUGUAGGGUCGAUCAUUGACCGGGAUGGACCUAGGGAGCAAAGGAAUAUGAUGGUCAAACGGUCGAGAUGGUGGCAGUUCAGUUGGUGUAACAAAAAUGUCACUGAAUUCCCCCAACAAUACCUGCAAUUCUAGAUGGACCUCAUUGCUGUUCUCCUCAAUCACCUCCUCCAACAAUGCAAACACCCAGAUAUCAUUCCCUCGCAGCCAUUUCGCCACCUAUAUAGUAGAAACUUCCUUCACAACCUGUUGCUGAGCAGUAUUGCCCACCAACUGAACUUCCACUCCAUUGUCCACAAAGCUAAUAACCUUAUCAUCCCAAUCACAAUGCAUAGGACUAUGGCGACGCAACCAAUCAUAGCCCAAAAUAGCAUCAUAUGCUCCCAGCCCCAACACCCUCAUAUCACAUUGAUAUGUAUGCCCAUUGGUCCACCAUUCCAAUGAUCGUACCAUCGUGUCACUAUGCAAAAUUUCCCCAUUUGCCACUCUCACUUUAGCUGAAGCACACAGAUGCACUUGCAGCCCCAUUCGAUCGACCAACUGCUUGUUAAUGAAACUAGUGGAGCUUCCCGAAUCAACCAGCACCAACAUCACUUGAUUUUGCAACAAGGCUCUCAGAGCCAUACAUUCAUCAUUUGUAGUACCACUAAGAGCAUUAAGGGACAACAUAAAAUUCUCCUCUUCCCCUUUUUCCUCCUGCUCAAUUUGUGUCAACGUGUGCUCAGAUAGUGUCAUCCCCAAAUCCUCGGCAGUGAGGGCAUGUAACUGCAUCUGGAUUUUUUUGGACAGCGAGCUUGAUGGCCAGGUUCAAACUUGUCGCCACAAGUAUAGCACAGACCAUUCUGCCUCCUAUACUCCUUCACCAAUCUCUCUUUAGACAACUCGAGUAAGGAAGCAGUCGCUCUAGUGUCGGACCUGGACACAGCACCCCCCAAUCGACCCUGAUUGACCAUCUUGAAUGGUUUCUGUUGCUGUUUGUCCAAAAUACCUUGUUGGAUCCUGUCUAACAAUGCUGCUCGUUCCAUUGACGCUGGCAAAUGAGACUUAACCGGUCCUUGUAGCUCUUGCUUCAACCCCUUAAUGAAAUGGGCCACAUACAAAGUCUCAUCUAAAUCAUGAUUAUGGACAGAAGUUGCAUAUCGCGCCUCAUCAAACACCUUUUUGUACUCCUCCACAGAUCCAAUCUGCCUAAUCUCCAGUAAGGACUGCAUAGCUUGUGAAUACUCCUCCGACCCAAACUUCAGCAUCACAGCUUCACAAAAUUCCUCCCAUGAACAUGGACCAUACUGAAUUUUAAAAAUCUGAAACCACCUCUUAGCAUUCCCCUCCAUGUUCAACGAUGCUGACAUCACCCAAACUGACUCAGGCACUCGAUACAAAGUGAAGUAAUCCACACACCGAUCAAUCCAGAUACGAGGUUCCGCCCCUUCAAAUUUAGGAAAUGGCAUACGUGGUAUUGGAAGAUGCCCUCCUUCAAAAUCCUCAACCCACUGCCCUCCAGUCUCUCUCGGACGACCCAAAGGCACCCUCGCAUACCUGCGCUGUGGACCUGGAGGAGCAAGAGGCAGAGAUGUUGGAGGCCCGCCGCGAUGCCGCUCACUGCGGACAGUCUGCGCUGACUCCAUUUCCCGCGCCAUCUGCUCGAGACGGAGUUCCGCGAGCGCCUUCUCCGCUUGAUCCAACUGCUGCGCGAAGCGAACCCGUUCUUCCAUCGCCUGCCGAGCCACAUCGUCCGCCAACCCCGCUUGCGCCAGCAACUGUUGUUGAACGUCAUCCAUACUCAGCACCUUCUCCGUGAGCCGAUCGAGUUGCGCCAUCACCCGAUCCCAACGAUCGGCAUCAUCUCGCUCCUUGGUCGUCAUCACCUCCCGGAGAAUCUUGGGCUGCGCCGACGGCUUCGGUGUGGGCGCCGUAGCGGCACUCGGUGUGGGAACACGAGGAAGGGGAUCCACGCCGAGGAUGCCUGAAUCUGAUACCAGUUGUCACAGCCCUUGGCCGACGACGACGAUCGCCGCGACGUGAGCACCAGGAAUCGCCGCUAAGGGAACAGACACACGGAUGUCUCAGGUAGCGUGUUUCUUCUCUAUUAUUUUCUCAACCCUUUUCCAAGCAUCAGACAACAGUAUAUCACUCCUUACAUGGGUCGGCCCAUAAUGCCACACACGCACUCACCCAAAGACAGCCCAAAAUGGCGCACACCAGUCCCUGUUCACCCUUCGACACCUUCGCUUCAAACUCCAGCUUCUGGCUCCUCUCCCGCGUUCUCUGUAUUCUGCGUUAUGACACCCGCUGGCGUGACAUGGAGUCCGCGCAGGUGUGGGGCAAACAUAAUCGCUGGAUCCUCUUGAUGAUGAGGGUCGGUGGAGUCUGCGACGGGGACAACGCUGAAGUCGACGUGGACGAGCGGGUUGAUGUGCGCGAGAGCGACCGCAGAGUCGACGACGAACUCGUCGACCGUUGAGAGAUGUGCCUCGACGUUUGCGCGGAGGGCAGAGGAGAACUCGUCGCGGUGCUGAGCGAAUUGCACCGCCUGGAAUUCUAGAGCGUUGACUCGGGUCCCCCCACUUGGAGUCGAUCACGGUGAAGUGCUUGUCGAGAUCGGCGAGGAUGGCACAAGUCUGGUGCUCCAGCGUCUGGGUAAGUUGGGCAUCAAUCGAUGAUGAAGACGCCAUGGAUGAGAGGGCCGAGGAACGUAGACCUCUGAUACCAAUUUGUUGGACACCAAAAUGAGCGGACGGUCUGGCCCUUGGGCCCGGACGGUCCACGUGUCCCGAGAUUAGAUUAACUCGGAUGUUUAUCCUUAUCUCGUGCGUGGUUAUCCAUCUAAUCACGUGGGAGUUUGUUGGCUAUCUCUUAGGAAAAGGUCCAGACCUCCUCCCCUAUAAAUAUAAAGGGGUACGGCCGAUUGAGAACCCCCGAACACAUUCCAAUCGAACCAAUUACCUUACUUACUUUUCCUGCCCUAGGAGUAGAUGUAGCAUAGUUCUAGUUGUAGCCUUCCGCAUAUCCACCUCCACCCCUAGUCGACUCUACGUCGUCUAGAUCCGUCUUGGGUGGCCUGCCGAUCCCAAGACGACCCUAGGAUCUCACCCCUCCCGGGGGGCAAGAUCUAGUUGUCCAUCCAAGACCUCUUCCUCGAUUUGAUCUCUUAAUUCCUAGGCGACUCCACGUCGUCUGGGGACGCCCCGGGUGACCUAUCGACCCAGAGCACCUUAAGAUCUUUUCCCCUCAGGGGACGAGAUCUAGAUUCCAGCAAGGAGGAGGAAGACGACCCUGUCGCCAGGUCGCGGACCGUCCGGCCCAGAGUUGCGGACCGUCCGGUGUGACACAGGGAAGACACCGCUCCUGCGCCUAGGUCGUGGACCGUCCGGCCCAAGGCCGCGGACCAUCCGCGCCGUCGCAGAGGGCACUACCAGGCGAUCUGGCGACCUGACGCAUGCCGCCACUACUGUUCACCUUGCGGAGCCGAACCCAAGGUAUUGCUCACCACGAGAAGGUCCUAGGGUUCGUUGCUAUUUGGUCCCAAAUAGGUGGUGACCAUCAUAGAGGUGUUGCCCCACAUUUAGGAUAACCACUUUAUUUGACCCUACAUCAUCUAAAGGUGCCAAGUACCGCCAAGCGGUUCAUUAUAGUGUUUGGUGACCAAAAAGGCACCAACGUACUUUUGGCGACUCCGCUGGGGACGAAAAAUCGGAUCUAUCAAAUCCGAUCCAUUAGAUCAGAUCUAUUAAAUUAGACCUAUCAGAUCGGUCGCAAUGGCUAAUCCCAAAGAUCACAACAAUGUCGUCCUAGACAUUAACACAAGGCUGACUAACUCGCCGGCCAAUGAGGAUGAGAAAUUAGAAGACCACAUGAAAAGGCUGGACGAGGAAUUGCAACGACAACAGGCUCAGAUAAGCAAGGUGGCGAAAAAGUGGUACCUCUCGCACUUCAAGGUAGAUCACCACCAGAAGGUCGUCAAGAAGAGGGAAGUAAAGUACGAUUCACUGUCAGCCUUCCUGCAUCAGCUCCCCAUUGUAAGUAACACCACGCCAUUAGCCGAUAUUCAAUCUGUUAAAAUUUCUUUUGAUAAUCAGAUUAAAAUUAUAAUGGAGGAUAUAGAGAAUAUGACACAUGCAUUGGAAAAUACGCAUACACCUGAUUUUUUGUCACAUAAAUUGGGCACUAAAAUAACUGCGUCAAAAACAUCGGCGACAAAUGAGGCUUCUCAGUCCCAACCAUAUUUUGGUAUGUCGAUGGACUCAUAUCCAGGACGACCGUCACCACCAUCUUCGCUAAAUGGUGAGCCAACUCUGAGCACGGCCGGACCGUCCGCACACAAUCGCGGACCGUCCGGCCCUCCGUCAAACCGUCUGGCACCCUACGCCGGACGGUCCGGAGUUACACAGAGUCCACCACAAGGGUCACAGGUGUUGCCUGACGUGACCGGACAGUCCGGGGAUAGUACCGGACCGUCCGGUCCACUCGCAGACCGUCCGACUGCGCAGGUCGGACCGUCCGGAGCAUCAGAAGUCACCUGUGAUCCGCCUAGUGCGGAAGGUCGACAUAAAUAUAACCAGUCACCCAAGCCCCAAGAACCAAAAAAGUCACAUGUCCCUGAGCUUAUUUGGCCCACUAAGGCCAAACCUUCUGUUCGCUUUCACCCGCACUCAACACAAAAGGAAAAAGUUAAGUUCACAUUUAAUAUUACUAAGUGUGAUAAAAUAUUUGAUGAGUUGCUUAAACAUGGUAAUAUUAAAUUGUCACAUGUAAUUCCUCCGGUUGUACAAUUAAAAGGGCGCGUUUAUUGCAAAUGGCAUGGCUCCUUUCUCCAUAACACCAAUGAUUGUGCUGUCUUCCGUCGGCAAAUACAAUCAGCUAUAAACGAAGGUCGGUUGAGGUUUCAAAAAGAGGUGAAAAUUGACAGGCCACCUGUUCCUGUCACCACAUUAGAGCUGACGAGCAAAAAGGCCAUAAUUCGGCCUUAUGCGGCCGAUAAAAGAAAAGAUAAAAAUAUCGUCAUUGGUGAUCCCUGCACACCAAAUAUGUCACGCAGAAUGGUUACUCGGAAGGCUCCGGACACAAGAAAGACUGGAGGCACCGGGGGGCAACCACGAUCGGACACCCGAUCACGGUCACCUGUCAUGUGUACGCCGAACGGUCUAGCUACUAAGGCCGAACAGUCCAAGACAGGAGCGGAUGGUCCGGCUAUAAUGGUCGGACGGUCCGCAGACAGUCAGAAGCAGCAACCUCAGACCAUCAGACCACAAUGUUCCAAAACAAGUGUUAGGAAACAAAAUACUACCGAGACGUCUGGAUGACUCAGUAGAGUCGACCCUACUUUUGGUCAGUUGCUUGCCAAAUAUAUGAAGAAGGUCGUUCCACACAACCGGCCAAUAAAACAGACGAAGUCAAAAGGACGAUCUGUGCGAAAGCAAAAGCCGACCAAACGGACCCAAAAAGUAGCACAACCAAGAUCGCCUUGUCAUCCUCCUCCGGGGAUAGCAUGGUGCGUCCCGUUCUAUCCAUUGCCGAUGUGUUGUCCUGCUCAUGUGUGGGGUGGUAUGGCGAUGAAUUCGUAUUACUGGCCCAAUCCGUUUGCUUAUUUGGGCUAGGGGCACCACAAGUUUUUGCCUAUUGACAGGUUGAUCAGGUAGACAUGGCCGAAGCGGAUGCGGUCCGAAACGGCAUCUGUGCAUUAAAGUUCCAUCAAGUAUUUAUAUUAUCUGAUCGCAAGAGCCGAUGACUUGCAUCGAGCUGAGUCCUUACUUCGGGAACAAAAGCUCAUGAGGUCAAUUGUUUCCGAAGUUUUUGCUAAUGCUUUUGGUUCGCCAAGCUCCACCAAAAGGCAAGGGGGCAUAUGUUGGACACCAAAAUGAGCGGACAGUCCGGCCCUUGGGCCCGGACGGUCCGCGUGUCCCGAGAUUAGAUUAACAUGGAUGUUUAUCCUUAUCUCGUGCAUGGUUAUCCAUCUAAUCCCGUGGGAGUUUGUUGGCUAUCUCUUAGGAAAUGGUCCAGACCUCCUCCCCUAUAAAUAUAAAGGGGUACGACCGAUUGAGAACCCCCGAACACAUUCCAAUCGAACCAAUUACCUUACUUACUUUUCCUGCCCUAGGAGUAGAUGUAGCAUAGUUCUAGUUGUAGCCUUCCGCAUAUCCACCUCCACCCCUAGUCGACUCUACGUCGUCUAGAUCCGUCUUGGGUGGCCUACCGAUCCCAAGACGACCCUAGGAUCUCACCCCUCCCGAGGGGCAAGAUCUAGUUGUCCAUCCAAGACCUCUUCCUCGAUUUGAUCUAUUAAUUCCUAGGCGACUCCACGUCGUCUGGGGACGCCCCGGGUGACCUGUCGACCCGGAGCACCUUAAGAUCUUUUCCCCCCAGGGGACGAGAUCUAGAUUCCAGCAAGGAGGAGGAAGAUGACCCUGUCACCAGGUCGCGGACCGUCCGGCCCAGAGCUGCGGACCGUCCGGUGUGACGCAGGGAAGACACCGCUCCUGCGCCCAGGUCGCGGACCGUCGGCGCCGUCGCAGAGGGCACUACCAGGCGAUCCGGCGACCUGACGCAGGCCGCCACUACUGUUCACCUUGCGGAGCCGAACCCAAGGUAUUGCUCACCACGAGAAGGUCCUAGGGUUCGUUGCUAUUUGGUCCCAAAUAGGUGGUGACCAUCAUAGAGGUGUUGCCCCACAUUUAGGAUAACCACUUUAUUUGACCCUACAUCAUCUAAAGGUGCCAAGUACCGCCAAGCGGUUCAUUAUAGUGUUUGGUGACCAAAAAGGCACCAACAUACUUUUUUAUGCCUGUAGCAACUCAAAUAACAACAAAAAAGGACAUCAUCAAAAUAGGCACUGCAUAUGUUGUCAUACAGGGAGACAAUAAAGGGCCGAUGAUUUUUGGUGAAUCGGCCAACACAACCAAAAAGGAUACGGUUACCAUCAAAACAGCCGAUCCAAAAUACUCCAUGCCUCGAUGGUGCCCAGCGGGAUUGACACGGUCCCAAAAGAGAAAAUUACAGCGCCUAAGAGUAAAGGAGAGCCAGGAGAAAGAGGCGGAAAAGAUAUUCAAUGACACACAUCCACUAUACCCAUGUUGAGCACCGUUUUGAGCCUGGCGGACGGUCCGGCCCUGAGGCCGGACGGUCCGCGGUCCGGACAGUCCGCGCCUGUGGGCCGGACGGUCCGCGCAUGCGCAGAACAGUUUAGGGUUCUGAGUUUUGUGCUAUGUUUGUUGGCUAGAUUUGCGGAAUUAGCUCGGAAUCCAGUCGUGUAAAGGGUCCAGCCCCCCUCCUCUAUAAAAAGAGAGGUCUACGACCGAUUUGUAUCAUCAAUCGAAUCAAUACAACUUCUAUUUCGCAUUUCAUCCUAGGAGUAGUUCUAGUCUAAUUUAGGUUUAGCCUCUCGAUCCCCAAAUUCUUCGCCUCUCCCCGACUCUACGUCGAUUAGAGGAGUCUAGGUCGGCCGGCCCGAGCCUAGACAACCCCUAGGAUCUCUCCUCCCCGACGGGGUCCCUCCCGGGAGCGAGAUCCAGGCGCCACCGGCGAUCUUCCGCCACCCCUGCGCACGCGCGGACCGUCCGACCCCAUGGCGCAGACCGUCCGACUGUCAGGUAGGAAACCCUAGCCCCUGCGCCAGGUCGCGGACCGUCCGGCCCCAGGUCGCAGACCGUCCGCGCCUGACCAGAGAGCACCGCCGCUGGUUCUUCUUGAGUAUUUGACGCUUCGAAAAAGCGUCAACAUACUUUUUGGUGACUCCGCUGGGGAAAACAUAUUUAGACCUAUCAAAUCGGCCCUCAAUGGCCGGUUCAAGGGAUAGCUCUGAUAUUUCCCCAAGCAACAUCAUAGAGCCGACUUGGGAUAUAUUGCCGGCUGACGAACAACUACAGUUCGAGGAGCACAAGGAGCAGAUGAUCCAGGAGGCAAAAGCGAGGUUCUUGGCCAACUUCAAAGUGGACAGGAACAACAAAGUCGUCCGACAUCGGGCGACAGAUCCGGCUUCACUGCGACCCACGCCAGACAUCCCCAAUGUAAGUAAUACAAACGAGCUGCAAUCUCUUAAGAAUUAUGUAGAUGAACAGUGUGAACAAAUGCAAAACAUCAUAGGGGAUAUGCAAAACGACUAUAGGAGAUUAGCGCGUGCAUUUGACAAAUCUAGCAUUGCAAAUUUUCCAUCACAUGAGGUAGAAUUAGGGGGUAACACGCGUAAUACAUCGGCUGUAGGUUGUCACGACCAGUCACAACCCCUUUAUGGGAUGCCGAUGGACACGUACCCUAAGCAACCGCAAAUCGGCAACAAAACAGCCGAUCUGCACAGGUCCGGACCGUCCGCACGUGAGCGCGGACCGUCCGGGCCAGCCACGACCGGGCCCAUUUUUAAUGAAGUACUCAGACAUGCACCCGAGCCACCACAUAUGACACAGAACCCAAACUACCCAGUCGGACGGUCCGCAUACAACGACGGACGGUCCGCAUAUAACCACGGACGGUCCGGGUACGUAUCCGGACAGUCCGCGCAUGAGUCCUUUGAGGAGGAUUAUUACCUGAAUCCUCGCCCGUCCCAGCAACACUUCCCAUCACACUAUGCAAUGCACCAGGCCAUUAAUUCAGGAUCCAGAGCCCAGGAAAGCUUUCCGGCCCCACCUAGAAGGCCGAAAAGAAACGAUCAAACCUAUGAGCCAUAUAGGGCAAAUGGAAAUGCACCACGUAGCUCAAACCAAUGGGGGGAACGACAACAUACUAAUAUGCAACCAACCCCACCUAUGUUUGACCAGAGAGCCGGUGGUCUUGCACCGGCUGCCAUUGAUAUAGUGAGGGAAGAAAUAGCCGGGGCGUUCCGAGAUAAGCUCGGAGUAAGCAUGAUCCCUAGGGGGCAAUCAUAUCGGAAACCUUAUGACAGCCGAUUUGAUCACCACCCGUACCAACAGGGAACUAGAAUACCCGAAUUCGCAAAAUUUUCGGGUGAUCAAGGGAAAAACACGCACGAACAUAUAGGCCAGUUCUUAGCACAAUUGGGAGAAUUAGCCGACACAGAGGCAUUUCGCGUGCGUUUAUUUUCAUUAUCGCUAACAGGAACCGUGUUUGCAUGGUAUGCCACUUUACCUCCUAAUUCCAUUUCAUCAUGGGGGGAUCUAGAACAAAAAUUUUAUGAUCAUUUUUUCUCCGGUGACUAUGAGUUAGAUUUAGUAGAUUUAGUGUCAUUGCGACAGACAAAAGAUGAAUCAGUUAAUGAUUACAUCCGGAGAUUUCGAGAUACAAGAAACCGAUGCUUUCAAAUUUAUCUAGCAGAAAAACAACUAGUAGGAUUAGCCUUUAAUGGUCUACGAUAUUAUUUAAAAGAAAGAUUAGAAGGCAUCCAAUUUUUUACACUAGCACAGUUACACCAGAAAGCUUUAGCUUGCGAAAGCCAGAGCAAAGAAACUGCUAAAACAAUGCGUCACAACGUACAUAUAGUAGAAUGCGACCAAAGUAGCUCAGAUGACGAAUCAGUAGAAGUGUACGCUGCUGAAAUGGUUUGGCCAAAACAGGCCAAAUCUUCGGCUUGUUCCUUCUUACAGCCGGUUCAAAAGAAACGACAAGAGGAGGUUAAGUUUACGUUUAAUGUUGGUAAGUGUGAUAAAAUAUUUGACGAAUUACUCAAAAAUGGCAAUAUUAAAAUAAAUCACACUGUUCCAUCCGCCGACGAGCUAAAAUGUCGUGCGUACUGCAAGUGGCAUAACUCAUUUUCUCAUGCCACUAAUGAUUGUAAUGUAUUUCGGCGACAGAUUCAAUCGGCCAUUAACGAAGGACGAUUGAAAUUUCAGGAAAUGCAGGUGGAUACAGAGCCCUUUCCGAUGAAUAUGAUUGACUUCGAGGGCAAGAAAGUCCUGGUUCGGCCAAAUACAGCCGAUAAAGGCAAAGGCAAGGAAACAAUCAUCGGCAAUGCUAAAAAGGCUGAUGGGGAUUGUAAAAUUUCUUGCAGGAAAGUGGUGGCCGAGAAGACUCCCGAUGGAGGGGAGACCCUGAAGGUGACCAUCACAGCCUCUAGCACUGGGGGGCAAGCACAGAUAGGGAAACAGUUGCGAGAACCCGUACUGCGCAUCACGGACAGUCCGCCAUCCAGGCGCAGACGUUCCGACACUUCUCCGGACGGUCCGGAGGACUCCAGCGGACGGUCCGGCCAUGCUCAGGACUCGCAGCGGCCACGUACCUUCAAACCACGACGACCAGAGAUAGGUACGUGGAAAACAAAUACAUUUAAAGCAGCUGGUCGGCUGAUCAAGCCUGGCCCGACUUUCGAUCAAUUGCUGUCUAAAUACGUUAAAAAGAAGGCCGGCCCCAGUGACCGGCCACCAAAGCGACCCCGCUCACCCAUUCAUGAGCAACGUCAGGUCAGGCCGAUUGGACCACCUCACCAAUCGGAAGAAAUAAAAGGUCCGAUUGUACAAUUGAGACCUAACAUGCCGACAUGGACACCUCCACCCCCUUAUCCAUCUAUGCCAUAUCCAUACACAUACUUACCUCCAUCAUAUGUUCCAAAUCAAAUGUGGGACAUGCCACCAUAUCCAUUUGGCAUGCCACAGUACCCCGCCUGGGGGGCACCCCAAACAUCCGUUUUUGACAGGUUGGCGCCGCCAGUACAAGACCGAUUGAGCGCUGCUGAAUCCGGUCACCAGGCACAAGCCCAACAAGAUUGCCAGACUACUCGGCCUCCUAGGCCGACCAAUCCGGCAGGGGGGCAUAUGCCUGUAGCAACUCAAAUAACAACAAAAAAGGACAUCAUCAAAAUAGGCACUGCAUAUGUUGUCAUACAGGGAGACAAUAAAGGGCCGAUGAUUUUUGGUGAAUCGGCCAACACAACCAAAAAGGAUACGGUUACCAUCAAAACAGCCGAUCCAAAAUACUCCAUGUCUCGAUGGUGCCCAGCGGGAUUGACACGGUCCCAAAAGAGAAAAUUACAGCGCCUAAGAGUAAAGGAGAGCCAGGAGAAAGAGGCAGAAAAGAUAUUCAAUGACACACAUCCACUAUACCCGUGUUGAGCACCAUUUUGAGCCUGGCGGACGGUCCGGCCCUGAGGCCGGACGGUCCGCGGUCCGGACAGUCCGCGCCUGUGGGCCGGACGGUCCGCGCAUGCGCAGAACAGUUUAGGGUUCCAAGUUUUGUGCUAUGUUUGUUGGCUAGAUUUGCGGAAUUAGCUCGGAAUCCAGUCGUGUAAAGGGUCCAGCCCCCCUCCUCUAUAAAAAGAGAGGUCUACGGCCGAUUUGUAUCAUCAAUCGAAUCAAUACAACUUCUAUUUCGCAUUUUAUCCUAGGAGUAGUUCUAGUCUAGUUUAGGUUUAGCCUCUCGAUCCCCAAAUUCUCCGCCUCUCCUCGACUCUACGUCGAUUAGAGGAGUCUAGGUCGGCCGGCCCGAGCCUAGACAACCCCUAGGAUCUCUCCUCCCCGACGGGGUCCCUCCCGGGAGCGAGAUCCGGGCGCCGCCGGCGAUCUUCCGCCGCCCCUAUGCACGCGCGGACCGUCCGGCCCCAGGGCGCGGACCGUCCGGCCGUCAGGCAGGAAACCCUAGCCCCUUGCGCCAGGUCACGGACCGUCCGGCCCUAGGCCGCGGACCGUCCGCGCCUGACUAGAGAGCACCGCCGUCGGUUCUUCUUGAGUAUUUGACGCUCCGAAAAAGCGUCAACACAAUUGUUAGCAGAGGAGAGGUUGGGUGAGGAAGAAGAUAUGUGGGAGAGGAGGAAGACAGGGAACGGGGAAUUCUUCAGAAGUUCUGAAUAUUGUUCAUUACAAGCGUAACUCUACUCCAUGACUAGAAAACUUAUUUAUGUGCCUACACACGAACCGGGUCCACUAUACACACAAACCCCAAGACCCCACAUGACAGCCAACAAUACGCUCAUGCCCACUCAGGUGCACAGAUAGCACGGCGCUUCCGAGCACCAUGGAUUGCCUCCUGUGCUUGGUCUGGCAACGUAGCACUCACAUCCUCACAUGUGCGCGACGCAACGGGGAGGUAGCGAGCUGGAGCUCCUGCUGGCUGUGCACGUGAGAGGGAGGGGGAAGUGGCGUGUAGGUGGAAGAAGCCGGAAGAGAGGUUCGGCUUUUAAAGGGCACCAUCGCGGGUCGCGGCUGCUACUGAUCAAGAGGGGCGGCGUCGACCAUUGGUGCAGGGCUGCGGCACCUGCCGGUUGGCUAUGGCCGCUGGCCAAGCUCCCACGCGGUUGGCUGCUCUACGCCCUGACAGGAGCUUGCAUGCAGCGAGGAGCCGAGGAGGUCUGCGUGCGUGAGCAGGUGAGCGUGGGGUUCUUUUCUUUUUUUUGUUUUGUUUUUCUUUUUAUUUAUUUAUUUUUGCAACACUACCCACGAGGGAAAAUAAUAAAUAAUAGUCUAGAUCAAAAGCUAUCCCAGUUAUUAAUUUUUGUCGACUUUCAUGUUAAACAGCUUGUAACCACGAGAUUUGGAUCGAUGUUGCCGAGAAUUUAUCACGUCCUAUUUUGAAAAUAGUUUGACUCAAAAUUUGACCGUGUUUUUGAAUUAGACACCGAUAGUUCAGAUUAAAAUUAAAUUACACGAGUUGUUCCAUCAAAAUUUAUUGUCGCCCGUGCCAAAAAAAUAAUAAUUGCGCUCUGUUACAGGUUUACGCUCGUGACCCGAGUUAUAAAAAUUCGAGGGCUUUCUAAUUGUAGCGUGGUGUUAGAUUUUCGAGUUCGUUUCGAAUUUGGAUCGGAUGCAGCGAUAGUAAGUCACGUAGAAUAAAAGUUAAAUAGAUGCCAGCACACUGAGUAUUCCAUUCUGAGAGUACGGACUUGGAUUAAUUUUUAGACAUAGAUCGAAUAUCGAGAAAUGGGAUUCAGACACAAAUUGGAUAGAGAUCAAACACAUGAUGAAUACCGAGUAAUAGGAUGUAAACACAAAUGGGAUCUCCGCCUUCGAAGAAUCGAAGUCGAAUACGAAAGGAUAACUUGCCGAUAAGUUCGAUAAAUUUGUUCGGGCAAGAAUUGUAAGACUAGAUUGACUUUCUGAAUUGCAUUCGUUUCAAGAAAUAAAAGUUUUAAUAGGCCCCAAAUUUGGCCUUUCUCGAGAUUGAAUAACUCCGAAUUUGGUGAAACUUUAUGAAUAGUUUUGAUAAAUAGAGAUAGACGCGAUCAAGAAAUAAAAAAAAUCUAGUGAGGAUCUGAGCUAAAGUCCAAUCUCACAGCAUUACACGAAAUAAACACCCGGGGUGUCACACGAAGUUAGUCCGUAGAGGACUCAUCAACAUUCUCUUGAAAUCUUCGCGAUGCUCAGAGUCUACUUCUGCGUAGAACCACUCUUUUGUCCAAUCACUAUGCCACUUUUGUAACGGGACCAUCCAAUCUAUAAAAGCACAAAUAUCAAAAACAUCUGCUUGCAUAGUUGUUUAAACAUACUUGAGCCUAUAUAGACCCGGUAGACCGUCGAGUAUCCCAAAGGACCUCGGUAAAUCAACUCACAACCAAGAUCGCGGAUUAAGUAAAUACACAUUCACAUACUGGAGUUUUGCAGCGGAAAUAAUAUUACAAUAAGUUUACAAAUAAGGAGAUGAGUGUAAGUACAAAAUUUGAUUUGAAAGAAAUACAACUUCAACAAUAAAGAUAUAACCAUAGCUUUCAAAUACAUUGCUAGCUCAAUGACAAUCCUCCAGAAAAAGCAGAGAUGAGAAAACUAUAUAGAAGGCCGAGCCGCCGGCACUUAUCCACCAUCAUUAGCAGACCUAGAUCUUAAUUUGCAACAUGGUGGGAUAAACCCUGAGUACUCGAAUGUACUCAGCUAGACUUACCCGUCCAAAACCAGAAAAUAAGAAAGUAAAAGACACCAAGGAUCAUGCAAGGCUUUAUUUGGAGUUGGCUCUUUCUUUUAGAAGAGUGCAUGAAUUAAUGUAGUUAUUAGCAUCUUAAGGACAUCAUGAUAAUUAGUCAUAUUUUAGCAGUUCGCAAAUCUAGGUUGGCACCUGAUUAGCUAGAUGACAUUUGCUAAUUCACUAUGUCUAGUUAUAGAUUUAGUGAUUAACAAGUUUGGCAAGUAUCUCAUUAAGUAGACAAGCAAGAGUAACCCAAACCUUGGUUAUAAUUAUUCAUGUCAUCAUUAUUAAUUAAUAUCAUCAUCCUCAGGAUUACCAUUGUUUAGUUCUUACUACAAUGAGAUAGCUCAAGUCAAGUGCUCACUAUCCAGGAACGAUGGUAAUUUCAAAUCUAUUACUAACCACCUUGCGGGGUAUUCCUAACACAAAUCACACCCACAUUACUUCACAUGAUACAGUUACCACUAUACUAUUCUAGUAGCAGCCCGGCUACACGUCGCGGAUUCAACAGGAGCCACCAUACCCAAGGACCUCCCGACUACCAGAGGGUCAGGGCAUACCAUGGGUCAUCUCGCCGUGUCCCUGUCACUCCUCAACCACACCAGUAAGUGCACCGCAAGGUCGAAUCCGGCCGGAAUAGUACUCUGGCUUCAUGGUCGGAACGAGUUAUCCGGCCAACUAAGUGAUUAGGCAUGCGUUCAACCUGACUCGAGGGAGCACAACGGUACGGUCCUUAAUCGACACAGACGGGGAUAAGUAGACAACCAAGACCUCCAUGCCUUGUGUUUCCUUAUCUCCAUGUCACCCGGUCUCAUAUUAACCUUUAUAUUAUCCAUUGAUAUUUUCCGAUGACAUUACCCAAAUAAAGCAUAAGGUAAGCACAAGUACCUUGCAGGUGGCAGGAAAUCACCUGACUUCUAACGUCUAAGCAGGACUAAGCAUUUAAGCAUACUUAAAUUACCGAGGUGACAAGAAUAGGUGUAAACAAGGGUAAUCAAGGAUAAAUGCAGCAAUUGUAUCCAAACAACUGCUACAACCAAAUGCAAUAAUCAUAGGCAGGUUGGUGAAUAAGACAAUUAUUGCAAACCAUGGGAAUUAGAUGUCGGGGCUUGCCUAGAAUCCAACACUAGGUUAGUGUUUUUGGUUAGACGGCAUCCGCUUGACGAAAGUCAACUUGAUAAGUUCAUCGUAUUCAGGUUUGCCUCCUACACCACGUCCUUCAUGUCCAUGUGUUCCACAUCUAGCGUACCUGAACGAAGUGCAUGAUGCAUAUGUAUGAGCAUAAAGAAAUGCAACACAACACAUAUCAUGCUACAUGAUAGUGAAGCAAGCACCAAUUAGCAAGGCACUGCAAACACUCAUACACAAGCACUAGUUAUCCAUACAUCAUCGGCACAUGAAUCUAACACCACUGAAGACAUGGAAUACUCGACCCUAAACUUAAUUUGCACGCAAGCAUAACAUGGGAAAUGGCAAGCACGUCAAUCAAGGGACAUAUGUUAACUUGAGUAUAACGACUACAAGUCUUCAUCAAUCAAGGACUAACCAAACCUACUUAGCCAAACAAAAAUAAGUCCAAGCAACGAACUAAACCCACACAAAUUUUUGGACAGCAACACAGCCUGUGCUUAUUUUAGCCAUAACUAGAGAUUUAGAAAUCCAAAACUGGUGAUCCAAGACAUUCUGGAAAGAUAAUAAAAUUGUCUACAAAACAUUUAUAACCAUCUUAGGGUGAUUCAAUACUUAUCAAAGUCAAUCAACACAAAGAAGGUGCAUCUGACCAGAUUUAAACAGAUUCAGACCUUAUACUUCAAACAUCUAUAACUAAAGAUUUAGACCACCAAAAAGGAUGAUCUAUAACUUUUUGGAAAUAUUAAGAAGAGUUCUACAACUUCUUUAUAAUUACUAAGAGCUGUAGCUCAGUUUAAUUUGGCAAACAAUGCAAUCUCCUAAAUCCGAACAUAUUAUGGACAUAUUCUGAUAUUGGACUUGUGAGAAACAUAACUUCCAAACUAUUAGACCUAUGGCUAUGAAAUUUUAACACCAGCAAGAUAAAGAAGUUAUCUACAACUUUUGUAUAGAACAAGUCUACAGAAAAUAUAGUUUAGUUCACCAAACUAAUUGCACGGCAAAAACUGUACCAGCAGCCCAAACAACAGUAUUCUAAUUUAGCUCCUAUUUAGUUUCUAUAGUUAUCAUGUUCUUGAUACGUAGAAUACUAUAAUACUUAUUCAUUUAUUAGAUCUAAAACCAACUAGUAAGCACCAACGUGCCAACUCACUAAUUACAUUUUCAAAUCAAUUGGAGCACCGGAGUUACAAACAUACAAGUAACAAGCACAUUCACCACUCUUUCCUAUCUAACACGACAUAGCUCAUGAAUUAAGAAAACACUAAACACGUUGUCAGUUUAUAUUUUUCCUAGUUAGGGAAUGACACCAAAAGGUUAACAAAGCUUAGGCUCACAUUUUAGGACUCCUCAAACUUAGACUAUGGAUAACAAUAAUUUAACUAGCUCUCUAGGUUCUUUUUUUAUAUGAGCUUGUAUACCACACCAACUAAAUAGACAUCACAUCUUUCUAUGAUUUAAAACAUAGAGCAUUAGCACAUAUCAUAGAACUCCACAAGGCUACAACUUGAACACCUACGGACUUAAAGCACUCACACACAUAUUUCCUCGGAUUGUUCUCCGAUUUCAACAGAAAUCGACUUACGAAUGCUACUUGCUUUCAAAUGAUUUUGGGCAGCGAUAAACAUUCCUAUCACAUUUCAUUGCUCCAAAAAUAUAGCAGGUAAUUACCACUAAUGCAAUACACCACUUCACCAUAUAUAAGCAAAAUCAACACUAAUCACACUGACAUCAUUUAUCGGCUAGAUAUUGGAACACUAAACUUGCCUUUCGCAUUCACCACCACAAUCAAAUAUCGCAUGCACAUCUAUCGACACAUUCUUCGCUUGACUCAUUGAGAGCACCUAGAGGGGGGGGGGGUGAAUAGGUGAUCCUGUAAAACUUGAAACUUAAUGCCACAAAACUUGGUUAGGAGUUAGCGCAAUAAAGCCAAGUGGCUAGAGAGGAGUCUUAGCAAAACACAAUAACCACAAGAAGAUCAACACAUGUAUACACAGUGGUUUAUCCCGUGGUUCGGCCAAGUACAAAACUUGCCUACUUCCACGUUGUGGCGUCCCAACGGACGAGGGUUGCAAUCAACCCCUCUCAAGCGGUCCAAAGACCCACUUGAAUACCACGGUGUUUUGCUUAGCUUUACUUUAUCCCGUUCGCGAGGAAUCUCCAUAACUUGGAGCCUCUCGCCCUUACACUUUUGAUGUUCACAAAAAAGCACGGAGUAAGGGAGGGAUGAGCAACGCACUCAAGACACAAAAUCCAAGUGACAAUACGCACACAAGUCGCAACAAGAGCUCGCAACACAACCCGACGAGUUCACAACUCAAAUGGAGCUCUAAUUGCUAUCACAAAGAAUCAAAUGCGCGGAAUCGAGGUCUUGGUGCUUAGGAAUGCUUUGAGUAUACUUGAUAUGCUCCUCCAUGCGCCUAGGGGUCCCUUUUAUAGCCCCAAGGCAGCUAGGAGCCGUUGAGAGCAUUCCAGGAAGGCAGAUCUUGCCUUCUGUCGCCUGGCGCACCGGACAGUCCGGUGCACCACCGGACACUGUCCGGUGCGGAUUUGUUUCCUUAUUUGGCGAAGCCGACCGUUGCAGAUGUAGAGCCGUUGGCGCACCGAACACUGUCCGGUGCACACCGGACAGUCCGGUGCUCCAAUGUGACCAUUGGCUCGGCCACGCGUCACGCGCGGAAUCCUCGGCCGACCGUUGCCCUGGCUGAUCGUUGGCUCACCGGACAGUCCGGUGCCUCACCGGACAGUCCGGUGAAUUAUAGCCGUACGCCGUUGAUGGCUUCCCGAGGCCGACGACUUCGCCUGUGAACGGCUCACUGGACAGUCCGGUGCACCACCGGACAGUCCGGUGAUUUAUAGCCGUACACCGCCGUCGAAGUCUCGAGAGCAGCAAGUUCGCCAGAGCCAGCCUGGCGCACCGGACACUGUCCGGUGCACCACUGGACAGUCCGGUGCACCCAGACUGCGCAGACUUUGGCUGAACAAAGCCAUCUCUUUUCUAAUUCGAUUUCUCCUGUUUCUAGCACUUAGACACAAUACAUUAGUCCAUAAAACAAUGUACUAAGUCUAGAAACAUACCUUUUGACUUGAUUUGCACUUUGUCCACCACUUUGCAUAGAUUAACACAAAAGCGCUUGUGUUGGCACUCAAUCACCAAAAUACUUAGAAAUGGCCCAAGGGCACAUUUCCCUUUCAAUCUCCCCCUUUUUGGUGAUUUAUGCCAACACAACAUAAAGCAACUAGAAUAAGUGCAAUAUCAAUGCAAAUGAAAACUCAAAAUUGUUUUGAUUCAAAUUUGGCAUAUAUGGAUCACUCUUUGCCACCACUUGGUUUGUUUUUGCAAAUCAAACUCAAUUUCCUAUCUCUAAGUCAAAUUCACUUGUAGAGACAUAAAGAGAGGUGUUCCAAUAGAAAUUGAUCACAAUAUAAAAAACUCCCCCUAUUUCCCAUAAUCAACCAUUCUCCCCACAAGAGACCAACUUUUGACAAAAAGAGCCAAUAAGAGUAUUUUGACAAAACAAAAGCUCUAUUCUAUUAUUUUCAAAAUUCUCAAGUGGUAGCUGAUCCAUUUAUUGCUUUUGGCCUUAUUUUCUCCCCCUUUGGCAUCAAGCACCAAAACGAGAUCAAUUUUGGCCCUCUAACCCCAUUGCCUCACCAAAAUCUUCAAAUAAGAAUACAAAGGCAAUAGGAGUACAUGAGAUGAACUUGGAAUAAGUUACCCUCUCAUCGGAGUGCAGUGGAAGUCUUUCAUGGUCCAAGUCCAACUUUUCCCUUUCAAUCUACCUUUGAGACUAAAUCAAGCAAACUCAAGCACUCGGUUAGUCUCAAAGGGUCAAGUUGUAGCACAACUCCCCCUAAAUAUGUGCAUCACUUGCAAAAGGACUUGUGAGGUCCGGGGAGUGUUUGUACAACUUGAGCACCACAAGUAAACAACAAAAUGCAUAAGGAACAUGAUCAAAGGCAUAAACACAUGUAUGCUAUAAAUCAAUCCAAGUUCUGCGAAUCUAAGAUAUUUAGCCCACUACGCAGCCUGCAAAAGGUCUUCUCAUCUAAAGGCUUGGUAAAGAUAUCGGCUAGCUGGUUCUCGGUGCUAACAUAAAACACUUCGAUAUCUCCCUUUUGCUGGUGGUCUCUUAAAAAGUGAUGCUGGAUGUCAAUGUGCUUUGUGCUGCUGUGCUCAACAGGAUUUUCCGCUAUUCGGAUAGCACUCUCAUUGUCACAUAGGAGUGGGACUUUGCUCAGAUUGUAGCUAAAGUCCCGGAGGGUUUGCCUCAUCCAAAGUAGUUGCACGCAACACUGUCCUGCGGCAACGUACUUGGCCUCAGCGGUGGAUAGGGCAACUGAAGUUUGUUUCUUAGAGUUCCAUGACACCAGGGACCUUCCUAAGAAUUGGCACGUCCCCGAUGUACUCUUCCUAUCGACCUUACAUCCAGCAUAGUCGGAGUCUGAAUAUCCAAUCAAGUCAAAGUUAGACCCCUUUGGAUACCAGAUCCUGAAGCAAGGCGUAGCUACUAAAUAUCUAAGGAUUCGCUUCACAGCCACAAGGUGACACUCCCUUGGAUCAGAUUGAAAUCUAGCACACAUGCAUACGCUAAGCAUAAUAUCCGGUCUACUAGCACAUAAGUAAAGCAAAGAACCUAUCAUGGACCGGUAUGCUUUUUGAUCAACAGACUUACCUCCUUUGUUGAGGUCGGUGUGUCCGUCAGUUCCCAUCGGCGUCUUUGCGGGCUUGGCGUCCUUCAUCCCAAACUGCUUUAGCAAGUCUUGCGUGUACUUCGUUUGGGAGAUGAAGGUGCCAUCCUUGAGUUUCUUCACUUGGAACCCAAGGAAGUAGUUCAACUCGCCCAUCAUCGACAUCUCGAAUUUCUGCGUCAUCACCCUGCUAAACUCUUCACAAGACUUUUGAUUAGUAGAACCAAAUAUUAUGUCAUCGACAUAAAUUUGGCACACAAAAAGAUCACCAUCGGAAGUCUUAGUGAAAAGAGUUGGAUCGGCUUUCCCAACCUUGAAAGCAUUAGCAAUUAAAAAGUCUCUAAGGCAUUCAUACCAUGCUCUUGGGGCUUGCUUAAGUCCAUAGAGCGUCUUAGAGAGCUUACACACGUGGUCGGGGUACCGUUCAUCCUCGAAGCCAGGGGGUUGCUCCACGUACACCUCCUCCUUGAUCGGCCCGUUGAUGAAAGCGCUCUUCACAUCCAUUUGGAACAACCUGAAAGAAUGGUGAGCGGCAUAUGCUAGCAAAAUACGAAUUGAUUCUAUCCUAGCCACAGGAGCGAAAGUCUCCUCAAAGUCCAAACCUGCGACUUGGGCAUAACCUUUUGCCACAAGUCGAGCCUUGUUCCUCGUCACCACCCCGUGCUCGUCCUGUUUGUUGCGGAACACCCACUUGGUUCCCACAACAUUUUGCUUGGGACGAGGCAUCAGUGUCCAAACUUCAUUACGCUUGAAGUUGUUGAGCUCCUGCUGCAUGGCCAACACCCAGUCCGGAUCUAGCAAGGCCUCUUCUACCCUGAAAGGCUCAAUAGAAGAGACAAAUGAGUAAUGCUCACAAAAAUUAACUAAUCUAGAACGAGUAGUUACUCCCUUGCUAAUGUCACCCAAUAUUUGGUCGACGGGAUGAUUCCUUUGAAUCGUCGCUCGAACUUGGGUUGGAGGUGCCGGUUGUGCUUCUUCCUCCAUCACAUGAUCAUCUUGUGCUCCCCCUUGAUCACACGCCUCUUCUUGAUGAACCUGUUCAUCGUCUUGAGUUAGGGGAUGCACCAUUGUUGAGGAAGACGGUUGAUCUUGCUCCAAUUGUUCCUGUGGUCGCACAUCGCCAAUUGCCAUGGUGCGCAUUGCGGCCGUUGGAACGUCUUCUUCAUCUACAUCAUCAAGAUCAACAACUUGCUCUCUUGGAGAGCCAUUAGUCUCAUCAAAUACAACGUCGCUAGAGACUUCAACCAAACCCGAUGAUUUGUUGAAGACCCUAUACGCCUUUGUAUUUGAGUCAUAACCUAAUAAAAACCCUUCUACAACUUUGGGAGCAAAUUUAGAAGUUCUACCUUUCUUCACAAGAAUAUAACACUUGCUCCCAAAUACACGAAAGUAAGACACAUUGGGUUUGUUACCGGUUAGAAGCUCAUACGAAGUCUUCUUGAGGAGGCGGUGAAGGUAGACCCGGUUGAUGGCGUGGCAAGCCGUGUUCACAGCUUCCGACCAAAAGCGCUCGGGGGUCUUGAACUCUCCAAGCAUCGUCCUCGCCAUGUCUAUGAGCGUCCUGUUCUUCCUCUCUACCACACCAUUUUGCUGUGGUGUGUAGGGAGCGAAGAACUCGUGCUUGAUUCCCUCCUCCUCAAGGAACUCCUCCACUUGAAGGUUCUUGAACUCGGACCCGUUGUCGCUCCUUAUCUUCUUCACCUUGAGCUCAAACUCAUUUUGAGCUCUCCUGAGGAAGCGCUUGAGGGUCCCUUGGGUUUCAGUUUUAUCCUGCAAAAAGAAUACCCAAGUGAAGCGGGAAAAAUCAUCAACAAUAACAAGACCAUACUUACUUCCUCCUAUGCUUAGAUAGGCGACGGGUCCGAAGAGGUCCAUAUGAAGCAUCUCCAAAGGUCUUGAUGUGGUCAUCACAUUUUUGGUGUGAUGAGAGCUUCCCACCUGUUUGCCUGCUUGACAAGCUAACCCUUUCACCUUGCCUUGGUUCCUAUCACCGAAUAUUAUUGAAUCUUGGGGAUCCUUGUUCUUGACGUAGGAAGAGAACAUCCUCUUCUCCCCUGUCAUGUGGUUUGUGCAUCCGCUGUCGAUAAUCCAGCUUGAGCCCCCGGAUGCAUAAACCUGCAAGGCAAAUUUAGGCUUGGGUCUUAGGUACCCAACUCUUGUUGGGUCCUACAAGGUUAGUUACAAUAGUCUUAGGGACCCAAAUGCAAGUUUUGUCUCCCUUACAUUUGGCUCCUUACUUCCUAGCAAUUAUCUUCUUAUCCUUUCUACAAAUAGCAAAGGAAGCAUUGCAAGCAUGAUAAAUUGUAGAAGGUUCAUUAAUUUUCCUAGGAACAUUAACAACAUUUCUCCUAGGCAUAUGAUGAACAACAUUUCUCCUAGACACAUCUCUACCAUGCAUAUAGGAAGAACUAGAAGCAAACAUGGCAUGAGAAUCAAAAGCAUCAUAACUUCUAUAGGCAUUCCUAGAAUGUCUCCUAUCAUGAUAUAUGAAGGCAUAGUUCUUUUUAGCACUACUAGCCAUAGGGGCCUUCCCUUUCUCCUUGGCGGAGAUGGGAGCCUUAUGGCUCGUUAAGUUCUUGGCUUCCCUCUUGAAGCCAAGUCCAUGCUUAACUGAGGGGUGUCUACCAAUCGUGUAGGCACCCCUUGCAAAUUUUAGCUUAUCAAAUUCACUUUUGCUAGUCUUAAGUUGGGCAUUAAGACUAGCCACUUCAUUAUUCAACUUAGAAAUUGAAGCAAGGUGUUCGCUACAAGCAUCAAUAUUAAAAUCUUUACACCUAUUGCAAAUUACAACAUUUUCUACACAAGAUGUUGAUUUACUAGCUAUUUCUAACUUAGCAUUCAAAUCAUCAUUUAUUCUCUUUAAGCUAGAAAUAGAGUCAUGACAUGUAGACAAUUCACUAGAAAGCAUUUCAUUCCUUUUAAUUUCUAAAGCAAGGGAUUUUUGAGCAUUUACAAACUUAUCAUGUUCUUCGUACAAAAGAUCCUCUUGCUUUUCUAAUAACCUAUUCUUAUCAUUUAAAGCAUCAAUCAAUUCAUUAAUCUUAUCUAUUUUAGUUCUAUCCAAUCCCUUGAACAAACUAGAGUAAUCUAUUUCAUCAUCACUGGACUCAUCAUCACUAGAAGAAGCAUAAGUGGCAUUGUUUCGAGUACAUACCUUCUUCUCCUUUGCCAUGAGGCAUGUGUGAUGCUCGUUGGGGAAGAGGGAUGACUUGUUGAAGGCGGUGGCGGCGAGUCCUUCAUUGUCGGAGUCGGAAGAGGAGCAAUCCGAAUCCCACUCCUUUCCAAGAUGUGCCUCGCCCUUGGCCUUCUUGUAAUUCUUCUUCUUUUCCCUUUUGUGCCCUUUUUCCUGGUCACUAUCAUUAUCGGAACAGUUAGCAAUAAAAUGACCAAUCUUACCACAUUUGAAGCAUGAGCGCUUCCCUUUUGUCUUGGUCUUGCUUGGCUGUCCCUUGCGACCCUUUAGCGCCGUCUUGAAGCGCUUGAUGAUGAGGGCCAUCUCUUCAUCAUUGAGCCCUGCCGCCUCAACUUGCGCCACCUUGCUAGGUAGCGCCUCCUUGCUCCUUGUUGCCUUGAGAGCAACAGGUUGAGGCUCAUUGAUUGGACCAUUCAACGCGUCGUCCACGUAUCUCGCCUCCUUGAUCAUCAUUUGCCCGCUUACGAACUUUCCAAGAACUUCUUCGGGCGACAUCUUGGUGUACCUAGGAUUCUCACGAAUAUUGUUCACCAGAUGUGGAUCAAGUACAGUAAAGGACCUUAGCAUUAGGCGAACGACGUCGUGGUCCGUCCAUCGCGUGCUUCCGUAGCUCCUUAUUUUGUUGACAAGGGUCUUGAGCCGGUUGUACGUUUGGGUUGGCUCCUCGCCCCUUAUCAUCGCGAAUCUCCCGAGUUCGCCUUCCACCAACUCCAUUUUGGUGAGCAUGGUGACGUCGUUCCCCUCAUGUGAGAUCCUGAGGGUGUCCCAGAUCUGCUUGGCAUUGUCCAAGCCGCUCACCUUAUUGUACUCUUCCCCGCACAAAGAUGCUAAGAGGACAGUAGUAGCUUGUGCAUUUUUAUGAAUUUGUUCAUUUAUAAACAUGGGACUAUCCGAGCUGUCAAAUUUCAUUCCACUCUCUACAAUCUCCCAUAUGCUUGGAUGGAGAGAGAACAAGUGACUACGCAUUUUGUGACUCCAAAAUCCGUAGUCCUCCCCAUCAAAGUGUGGAGGUUUGCCAAGAGGAAUGGAAAGCAAAUGUGUAUUUGAGCUAUGUGGAAUACGUGAAUAAUCGAAAGAGAAGUUUGAGUUAACCAUCUUUCUUUUGUCGUAGUCGUUGUCGUUGUCGUCGUUGUCCUUUUGGGAAGAAGUGGACUCAUCGCUGUCGUCGUAGUAGACGAUCUCCUUGAUGCGUCUUGUCUUCUUUUUCUUCCCAUCUUUGCGUUUGUGGCCCGAGCCCGAGUCGGUAGGCUUGUCAUCCUUCGGCUCGUUGACGAAGGACUCCUUCUCCUUAUCGUUGAUCACAAUUCCCUUCCCCUUAGGAUCCAUCUCUUCGGGCGAUUAGUCCCUUCAUGAAGAGAAUGGCUUUGAUACCAAUUGAGAGCACCUAGAGGGGGGGCGUGAAAAGGUGAUCCUGUAAAACUUGAAACUUAAUGCCACAAAACUUGGUUAGGAGUUAGCGCAAUAAAGCCAAGUGGCUAGAGAGGAGUCUUAGCAAAACACAAUAACCACAAGAAGAUCAACACAGGUAGACACAGUGGUUUAUCCCGUGGUUCGGCCAAGUACAAAACUUGCCUACUUCCACGUUGUGGCGUCCCAACGGACGAGGGUUACAAUCAACCCCUCUCAAGCGGUCUAAAGACCCACUUGAAUACCAUGGUGUUUUGCUUAGCUUUACUUUAUCCCGUUCGCGAGGAAUCUCCACAACUUGGAGCCUCUCGCCCUUACACUUUUGAUGUUCACAAAGAAGCACAGAGUAAGGGAGGGAUGAGCAACGCACUCAAGACACAAAAUCCAAGUGACAAUACACACACAAGUCGCAACAAGAGCUCGCAACACAACUCGACGAGUUCACAACUCAAAUGGAGCUCUAAUUGCUAUCACAAAGAAUCAAAUGCGCGGAAUCGAGGUCUUGGUGCUCAGGAAUGCUUUGAGUAUACUUGAUGUGCUCCUCCAUGCGCCUAGGGGUCCCUUUUAUAGCCCCAAGGCAGCUAGGAGCCGUUGAGAGCAUUCCAGGAAGGCAGAUCUUGCCUUCUGUCGCCUGGCGCACCGGACAGUCCGGUGCACCACCGGACACUGUCCGGUGCGGAUUUGUUUCCUUAUUUGGCGAAGCCGACCGUUGCAGAUGUAGAGCCGUUGGUGCACCGGACACUGUCCGGUGCACACCGGAUAGUCUGGUGCUCCAAUGUGACCGUUGGCUCAGCCACGCGUCACGCGCAGAAUCCUCGGCCAACCGUUGCCCCGGCUGACCGUUGGCUCACCGGACAGUCCGGUGCCUCACCGAACAGUCCGGUGAAUUAUAGCCGUACGCCGUUGAUGGCUUCCCGAGGCCGAUGACUUCGCCUAUGAACGGCUCACCGGACAGUCCGGUGAUUUAUAGCCAUACACCGUCGUCGAAGUCCCGAGAGCAGCAAGUUCGCCAGAGCCAGCCUGGCGCACCGGACACUGUCCGGUGCACCACCGGACAGUCCGGUGCACCACCGGACAGUCCGGUGCACCCAGACUGCGCAGACUUGGCUGAACAAAGCCAUCUCUUUUCCAAUUCGAUUUCUCCUGUUUCUAGCACUUAGACACAAUACAUUAGUCCAUAAAACAAUGUACUAAGUCUAGAAACAUAACUUUUGACUUGAUUUGCACUUUGUCCACCACUUUGCAUAGAUUAACACAAAAGCGCUUGUGUUGGCACUCAAUCACCAAAAUACUUAGAAAUGGCCCAAGGGCACAUUUCCCUUUCAAUCCCAAGGGCACAUUUCCCUUUCACUCAUUACAUCUCACAACAAAAAGCAACUAAGAACAAGUGACACCGAUGGAUUCUACUAAACUCAUUAUUCACAUAUUCCAUCCGACCACACAUAUACACAACAUCAACAAAAAUCACAUGGAGAGUAAACCAUAACUACAAAUUGAACAACCUGAACGACCUGAACUCGAAUGGUGCAUGUCUUCCACUCGAUUUGGGCUUUUCGUCGAACAUGUGGUGCACGUGGCGCGAUGUCGAUGACUAGCUUCGAGCAACUAUGACACACUGGUUUAUACAUUUAAUCGAGCAAAUAGAGCGCGAGAGCAGCGAGGAUAGCAAGGAGCUCAUCACCAGGGUUUGAUGACAUCGCAACUGGGGUUGUGCAGAUCAACGACAUGGUGCUUGAUCUGGCAAGCACGCCGCAGGGCUUGGCACAACACAACGGGGAAGGAGAUCGAUCGAGCUCGACGAGGCAGAACACAUGACACGGAGGAUCCAUCACAACUGCUGCUACCAGGAACCGGAGGGAGGGGCUCGACAUCCAAGAGUGAGGCUCACGACGAACUUGGAGAACGACAACCUGCGAGGGACAUGGGUUGCAGCCGAUGUUGAGGGAUAUCGACCUACGUGGCAUGGAUCUCGGCGUCCGGCGUGUGGGCAGCGCUGCUCAGCAGGAGGGGGUGUCAUGUGGUGAACGACCUAGAAAUGGAGCUCAUUGGAGAGACGGGGCCGAGUGGAGGAGCACGUCCAACGAUCACCAUGACCGGAGCUCGAGGAAGCACAUGGAGGAGCUCCGUUCGACUUGGGUAGGAGCUGCCGCGCGCCUACUGGAUGUGAUAUCCUGGCCCCUGGGAUGGUGAUAUUCUGGUCCAAGGCUUAAUAGAAUUAAUAGAAUAUCCAUACCAAGAAGGUGUAUCUUCUUUUUCGAAAGCCUAUCUCGAAAGAACCUCAAAGUUAAGCGUGCUUGGCUUGGAGCAUUUUGGGAUGGGUGACCGACCGAGAAGUUUUGUCGGGUGCGCAUGAGUGAGGACAAAGUGCACACAAAAGACUCGUGUUGGUCUGUGGGGACAAUAUAUGAUUCUAGAGAGCUGCCAGGAGUAAGUACCGUUGGUCUGGGAGUGGACGAGGUGUUACAAGUGGUAUAAGAGCUGACCCUUGCGGUUUUACGGGUGUGUGUGGGUUAGGGGUUCGGGUAUAUGGUACAUGGCGCAUGUGGGCCCAGAGUGGUCACAUGUCAUGGCAUAUGACGACACUAGACACACAAACGUGGCUAAGAGGGGAGGUUCCUGGAUUGUAGUUGACCAACGAGAACGUCGGUCUUCUAAGGGGGUGGCUUGUGAUGUCCUGGCCCCUGGGAUGGUGAUAUCCUAGCCCAAGGCUUAAUACAAUUAGUAGGGUAUCCAUACCAAAAAGGUGCAUCUUCUUUUUCGGAAGCCUAUCUUGAAAGACCCUCCAAGUUAAGCGUGCUUGCCUUGGAGCAAUUUGGGCUGGGUGACCGACCAGUAAGUUUUCACGGGUGCGCAUGAGUGAGGACAAAGUACGCACAAAAGACUCAUGUUGGUCUGUGGGGAUAAUAUAUGAUCCUAGAGAGCUGCCAGGAGUAAGUACCAUCGGUCCGGGAGUGGCCAGGGUGUUACACUGGAGGAGGGCGUCGGAGCUAGAGCUCACGUCAUGGAGAGGAGGAGCGGUCGGUGGAGCUCGACGCUGGCAUUGAGGAGUAGCAGCUAGAGCAGAGGAGGAGCUUAGCCCCAUGGAGGACGAGCAGAGGGGUAGGCAGCUUCCAUGGUUGGAGUGGAGGCGCUGUUGGAAGUUGGAGGGAGCAGAGAGAUGUGAGUCUGGUGCACGAUAGCUUGGGUGGGGGAUGAGGAGAUUUUUCCCAAUUUGUGAGAGAAAGGCUAUUUAUACAAGUCUCCUAGGGUUAGGGUUUUUAGUGGGCUCAAAUGGGCUUGGCCCAAAUCGUUAUUGGGCUCCGCUAAUUUAUUUUAUUUUUAUCUACGUUUGAUUAAGUACGGAUUAUCGAAAUUGGAUAAUUUCUUGCGAUGUUUAAAUUGGUGCAUAUUAUUGGAAUCGAACACUGCCGAGUAUUACUUGUUUCAUAUUUGCUUUGAGAAUACGAUUAUGUAUAAAGAUCGGAGACGGAUCGAUUCUCAGUCUACGACAGGUCGAAAUCGAAUACGGGCAGAUAAAAUUUGUACCAUUAGUAUAAUUUAGUUGACAGUUACCUUGAUUUAAGUUAGUUUGAUUUAAUUUUAUUCACUCAGAUAACUUUUGUUGUCGAGUCCUAAUAAAUCCGUUUGGGGCAAAAAUCGCGAGACUGGGUUGAUUCUCCGAAUUUGCAUUCGCUUUACGAUUAAGUCGAAUAGGAACUAUUCUCGUUAAUUCCUAUGACGAAAUAAUUCUGAACUUCCCGAAAUCCUUGAUAUAAUAGAGAUAAACGAAGAUGGAUGUGACAUAGGGUUCAUUAUCCCUACUAACCUACUUGCUUAGGUUCAAAAUCACAGUUUAGCUCGUGACAAACACCUGGGGUGUUACAACAUUGUCUGGUAGGCAAGAACCGAUGAAACUGUAUCUUUGUGAUAUAAAAAGUUGUAGCAUCCGAAGUUCUUAUGGAGGUUAUCCGAAGGCCUGACCUUGGUCUGAAAAUGUAAAUCAUGAACCCUGUAGAAUGCAUCAGCUUCGGUGUGACCUCCUUGACUUCACACUGCCCAAAUAAAAAUGACAAGCUGAACUAUAGCAUUCAACGUCAGUUGAUGCAUGUAUAACUGGUACUUUUGAAGAAUCUUCGCAAUCAACUGAUACAUCUUCGCCCAGCUUUGAAGAAGCUCUUGUUGUAACACCCAAAAUCUUGAUUUUAGGGACUAGUAACAAAAAUCAAAGUAAAGUGUCCCGGACUAAUAGUAAUACUUUGGAAUCCACCCUUUUCUAAAAAAAUAAAUAGAAACAGUAAAACAAUAUUAGUUAAGAUAAAAUAGAAAUAGAAAUUCAGUUUGUAAACUUCAAGAAAUAAUGAAAAGAGCUUUAGUUUAUUAGAAUGGAUUAUCCCCUUCUAAGACUAUCUAUAAAAUAUUCUUUUACGUGUGAAAGUAACUCAUGGUAGAAAACAAAUAUACAUGACUUUCUCCUAAAAUAAUCAAGUAAUGAAUAUUCACUUUAUAUGAAAUUUUAACUACAAUACUUAAAACCAUAUUUUCUUAAAAAUAAACAUUUCAUGUGUACAUUGCAUAUUUGAAAUAAAUUUCCCAAAUAAUGGGGUAAAACAAUUCUUGCAACUCAUGCUGGAUAUUUUGUUUGUUUGAUGUGAAUUUUAUCGAAGUCUAAAAACUAGAAUAAAAAUUUGAAGUUGGAAUUUAAAACUGAAAUAGGAAAAUGAAAAAGAAAAGGGAAUAAAAAAAUGAGAAAGAACCUCCCUGGGCCGACUCGAGCAUUUCCAGCCCAAGCACCUUUUCCUUCUAGCAGCCCACCCACGCCCACGCCGCGCCCCACGCGCGCCGACACUGGGCCCAGUGGCCAGUCCCUGCAUCGUGUGGUGGAUGGCUGGCGUGUGGGACCCACUCUGUCAGCCUCCCUUCAGCGUACGCUCUCCGUGCCAUACUCGCACCGGCUGGCCGGUGGGCCCUGCUAUCCAGCCUUACACCCCGCCAACCACUUACCUCCGCGUCGCCGCUGGGUGGGCCAACGCUGCAGGAUCGUCCCCCUCGCGGACUCCACGACCGAGUUCGAUUGGAGCACCCUCGCGAUGAACACGCCGACCACUCAACAGACUCCGUAUUUUCCUAUCCUAGUUUAUUGCCAAGCAACAAACCCGCCCUAAAUCUAUGCUCCCUUGGCCAGACUCCGACCACAAGUAUAAAACCUAGCCAUGUCUUCCCCAUAGCCUUGCACCUCGCCUCCGAAAGCGCUACCAGGGGAAGAGGGCCGCCACCAUGGAUCUGCGCCGACGUGGCUGUUCGAAACACACUUGGGGACCCCGGGUGCUCGUGCGGGACCUCUGGUGGAUGGCUGCUCCUCGUCCGGGCUGGUGGUGCGACCGGUGAGGCGGAAUUCCUCAUCGGAGGGCGCCACCACCAUGAAGUCCGCACCAUACCGUGCCUGGAGCCCAUCGCCGUGUAAUUCCAUGUAAGUCGCCAUCCACUGUGUUUGUGUUGGUCUCCAUUGUCUUCGGCGUGCCCACAAAUUAAGCUCGGGUAACCGGUGUUGGAGGGUGGGAUAGCCGGUAAUGGCGUCAGCGUCCUGGGUGGGGCGGCGCCGGGUUGGGUCAUCGGGGUAAGCAAGAGAGGGAGAGAUGUAGGGGGUGAAAUCGUGAUCCUUGGAGAGAAAACGAAGGCUCGGAUUAGAUUAUGUUAUACUUCUUCAGUCCAUCCGAUCAUGGACGUCGAAAUAAGAUCCAAUGGACCGGAUGUGAUCAUGUGUUAUCAAAUACCGACUGUGGAUCUCGAAUCCUAUGGUUAUCAAUGCGUACCGGUUCACAUGGGAUUAAAAUCUAAUCUGGACCGUUCAGGUUUGAUCGGGUGGCUGGGGUGGCUACGUACCCCUUUGCCGCGACUUUUAGCUAAAUAGACCCUAGGUUUAUCUGAAUUCAAGGCCGUCGUCCAUAUACAAAUUAAAAUAAAUAGAAUUAAAUCAGGACUUUGCAAAAACACCCUUGGGACUUAUGUUGAGAUAUAAAAUCAUUAGUAAAAUACCUAGGAACUUAUGUAUGCCAUAACUUUAGCAUUUUAACACCGUUUUUGUCCGUUCAAGUUGCGUUAGCUUCGUAAUAAAAUUGUCUAUGCAGUGGCGACAUUGUUUGUACCAUAAAACAUAUUUUUAUAAAUAGAUAUUUGUUUAUCCUAUGAUUAGUAGAUUAGACCUUCUAACCAAUGUUAAACUGGUCCAUGAUGGUAAUCUGACUAAAGUAUGAUUUCUAAUCAAGUUAUAAUAUAGAUUAAAGUUUAGUUAAUUAUUUAUAGAAUAUUCUCUCAUAUGAUGUAUACUAAUCAAUUUAUAAUAUAGUUUAAUAUUUAAAUCACAUAGAUCUUCCAUAAAUCAUAACUCCUUAACCGUAAUUCUGAUUUUAGUAGUUCUCGAACCCGCGAUCUCAUAGCGGCGCGUAGAAUAUUCCUACACUCUUUGUUCUCAUGAUGGGUGUAAUGUUAUUUUUAUGUAUUCCCUAUCUAUUUGUAUGUAUUGCUAUGAGUAGAAGUGAGGUCACGAGAAAUCUGAAGACCAACUUGGUGAAGUACCUGGAAUCUCAAGUAUAAGGCAAGUUGUGCCCUUGAUCACUCCUUUUUACCUAAUAAUGUUCGCUAUUAAUCACUGUGACAUGCUUAGGUUAAGAGGAUGGAACCUAAUAGGUUUCCCUAGCAUUGUUUAUCCCCCACCUUGCAGAAGAUGAACUAUUGGGUAGAUUUGCUAUUGCUCUACCUGGUUUUGGGGAAAUUAAUGUUUUAUUAUGAUCAUGUUCCAAUUAUGUUGUUGUUUUAAUUAUUGUUCAUGAUAAGAUCAUCAUGUUAAUUGGAACAUGGAGAACUACCCGGGAAAAACCUGCUACCACAAGGGUGGAAUGCGACGCCCUUGUCCAAGUAAUUAGGAAAGCUAGGGAGAGAUUACCUUACCCGGAAGGGGCAAGUGGGGAGGCAUCACUGCUAGACUAUAGGGAGGUCAUCGGGUCGAACUGUCUGUAAAGAUUUUUGGAUGAGGGAUUCCUAUGCUUCCUUCUUCUUAAAUCCGUUGCGGGUUUUCUCGGACUAGUGGACUUUGAAAAGAACUCGUAGUGCUACCCUGCCUCGCUUCCUUGGUAGAGGUGUAUGGGUUCCGCACAACCCCGCGGCAAAUGGGUAACACGACUUGUGGGUAAAGAUGUGCAACCUCUGUAGAGUGUAAAACUGGUAUAUCAGCUGUGCUCACGGUCAUGAGUAGCUCGGACACUCACAUGAUUAACUUAUGAAAUUAAACUUAAUUUGUCAUAUGUAUUGCAUUAUGGGUGAUGUUAUUAAUUUUGAUCUCUUAUUUAAUUGGGUCGGUAUCUACUUAUACUUAGUAACUGCUAAUAAAAUUUUGACAAAUUCUAAAAGCAAUGCUCAGCUUUAACCAUCACCUUUGGUAAGCCUUACACUUCACAUGAGCUCCCACCUUUGGUGAGUUCAUGAACAUUAUUCCCCACAACUUGUUGAACGAUGAACGUAUGUGAGCUCACCCUUGUUGUACUCACAUCCCCCAGGACAAGAACAGGUACCACUGGACAAGGCGCAUGAAGGAUGCUGUGAUGAGUUUGUGAGUGGUCUAGGCCAUCGUCUCCUAGUCAACUAUGGUUGCUGGAUUGUUGUCUUCGUAUGCUGUAAUUAUUUAACUAUUUUGUACAAAACUCCAUUAUAUAUUAAUGAUGUGACGUUCGUUUCUAUACCAUGAGUCAUCAUAUGUGUGGACUUGAUCCUAGCACACUUGGUGAAGUUCGCGUCCGGGUUUUGGACACCUAAAAUCUGGGUGUGACACUUGUAGACAACAACUUCGUCUUUCCCAAGAUUUGGAGUUGUCUCUUCAUUAGGAAGUCACACAUUAACUUUGUUGCUAAAAUACCCAAGUUUUAUUUCAUUGAUUGCAAAUCCUUAUCGUUGAGAAUAGAUCGACC
rnacentral:lncRNA from 1 species